rnacentral:rRNA from 1 species
AGUGAACGCUGGCGGCAGGCCUAACACAUGCAAGUCGAACGGCAGCACAGUAAGAGCUUGCUCUUACGGGUGGCGAGUGGCGGACGGGUGAGGAAUACAUCGGAAUCUACUUUUUCGGGGGGGAUAACGUAGGGAAACUUACGCUAAUACCGCAUACGACCUACGGGUGAAAGCAGUGGAUCUUCGGACCUUGCGCGAUUGAAUGAGCCGAUGUCGGAUUAGCUAGUUGGCGGGGUAAAGGACCACCAAGGCGACGAUCCGUAGCUGGUCUGAGAGGAUGAUCAGCCACACUGGAACUGAGACACGGUCCAGACUCCUACGGGAGGCAGCAGUGGGGAAUAUUCGACAAUGGGCGCAAGCCUGAUCCAGCCAUACCGCGUGGGUGAAGAAGGCCUUCGGGUUGUAAAGCCCUUUUGUUGGGAAAGAAAAGCAGCAGGUUAAUACCCCGCUGUUCUGACGGUACCCAAAGAAUAAGCACCGGCUAACUUCGUG